GAUGAACGCUGGCGGCGUGCCUAAUACAUGCAAGUCGAGCGAACAGACGAGGAGCUUGCUCCUCUGACGUUAGCGGCGGACGGGUGAGUAACACGUGGAUAACCUACCUAUAAGACUGGGAUAACUUCGGGAAACCGGAGCUAAUACCGGAUAAUAUAUUGAACCGCAUGGUUCAAUAGUGAAAGACGGUUUUGCUGUCACUUAUAGAUGGAUCCGCGCCGCAUUAGCUAGUUGGUAAGGUAACGGCUUACCAAGGCAACGAUGCGUAGCUGACCUGAGAGAGUGAUCGGCCACACUGGAACUGAGACACGGUCCAGACUCCUACGGGAGGCAGCAGUAGGGAAUCUUCCGCAAUGGGCGAAAGCCUGACGGAGCAACGCCGCGUGAGUGAUGAAGGUCCUCGGAUCGUAAAACUCUGUUAUUAGGGAAGAACAAAUGUGUAAGUAACUAUGCACGUCGUGACGGUACCGAAUCAGAAAGCCACGGCUAACUACGUG
rnacentral:rRNA from 1 species